rnacentral:lncRNA from 1 species
UGUCCUGCUUAUCUUGCGCUGUUAACUGACCAGUCUUAGCGAAGAUUAUUUUGAAGCCCACACUUAUCUGGGAGUUGUUAAAAGUCUCGAUACCGCUAGAAGAGUUAGUGAAAUCGCACUGCAGGAUGGACAUCCAUGUACCUUUACCGUGCAUUUCAAGCUCCUCUCCUCAAACUCCUUUGGUAUCUUUAGUGCCUAACAAAAAGGUUGCGAGCGAAAGACCUGAAGAGGCAGAUUCCACGAAUUUCGACCCAUGUGAACAAUGCUCGGUUGACUUUAGGAUAACUUUGCUGAUGCUGCUCCUGCAAGACUUUUAGACAAACCAAAUAUAGCUUUGAAGAUUUAGGCUUUUAGCCGGUAAGAUUGACCAAGUCCCUUCACAUGUAAUUUUAUAUAAAAUAAAAAAUAAAGCCCCGAAUUGAGCCGCGCUAUGCAGAUGA